GGGGGAGAGUGUUUGGGAGGAAGAGUGUGUUUGGGAGGAGUGUGUUUGGGAGGGGGAGAGUGUUGUGUUUGGGGGAGAGUGUUUGGGAGGAAGAGUGUGUUUGGGAGGAGUGUGUUUGGGAGGGGGAGAGUGUGUUUGGGGGAGUGUUGUGUUUGGGGGGGAGAGUGUGUUUGGGGGAGUGUGUUUGGAAGGAAGAGUGUGUUUGGGGGGAGAGUGUUUGGGAGGAAGAGUGUGUUUGGGGGAGUGUGUUUGGGAGGAAGAGUGUGUUUGGGGGGAGAGUGUUUGGGAGGAAGAGUGUGUUUGGGGGAGUGUGUUUGGAAGGAAGAGUGUGUUUGGGAGGAGUGUGUUUGGGAGGAAGAGUGUGUUUGGGGGAGAAGUGUUUGGGAGGAAGAGUGUGUUUGGGAGGAGUGUGUUUGGGAGGGGGGAGAGUGUGUUUGGGAGGAGUGUGUUUGGGAGGAAGAGUGUGUUUGGG
ensembl:lncRNA